GUCACGUUUGGAACAGUUUUUCUUUCAAAUGUCAGGUAGGUGUGAAAGAUUUGACAGGGAAAUGUUGUGAUUCUCAUCUCAAAGCCCAUUUUGUGAUCAGUGGGGAGGGGACAUCAUUUCAGAUCUUUUAAUUCAAAGUUAUAUUCCAGUUUAUUGGAGUAAUGCAUUUUACACAAACAAGGACUCCUUAAAUCAAUAAUUUUUACCCGUUAAGGGGAAUAAAGACCUUUAAUAAUCAUGAAAAACAUGGACUUUCUGAAAAUUUCCAUAUAAACACAUAAGAAUUGUUUCAUGCCAUUUCUGCAGAUUUGCAAAGGUGCUUAAAGCUCAUGCAUGGACCCCAGAUUGGAAUCCUCGAGACAAGCAAAAGCACUUGCCCAGGACUGAUGGCCGCUCGUCCCACUGUGAUGGCCAUGGGAGAGGAAGAGUGGAUGGGGACAACUGCCUUUCCCCCAGGGAAUGCGUCCAGCAGCCCUCAGUCGAAGCACUGUUGCUAUAAGCUAUCUCGGGGGUGCUCUAGGGCCCCCUCCUUCAGCUCACCUCUGGGGAAAGUACGCACUGUAUUAACUUUGAGGAUUUUCCUCCCCAACAAUAAAUGGAGACAACCUCAGUUGCCAGUGCCCCAGAGCCUGGGGCGCUUUGCCCUCAAAAAAAAAAAAGCUCCAGCAGCUGAGCCCUGGAGUGCCUCAUGGCAGGGCUCCUUCUUCCCUUCUGACUUGACAGUACAGUUCACCAUGGUGCCAACGCCAUCUGGGGCCAGCUGGGCAGAGCCAGGGCUCCUCAUGGACAUCCUGAGCAUCCGAAAGAGGCGAAGGCCUCUGAGGGGAGACGGUUCAGGCCAUCCUCAUCCAUUUAUCCAAUUUAUACAAUCCAAUAAAUUUAUCCAAUAAAAUCUGUAAAUUUUCUGUUAUUGAUUUAACUCUCUCCUGCUGGCCUUAGAACUUGGAAACAUCUGACUUCUCUUUAUGAAAACUCUUGUCAUAAGUGCUUAACUGAAUGAUUAACCUUUUCCAUGGAGGAAAUCAUGCUCUAUGAAUCACAGGAAGCUUAAUCAAUAGACUCAUAUUUCCAGUUCUAUAAAACUGGAAGAUCCAAGUUCCAAUCCAAUAAUAACAUGUGAUCAUUUGGUCAAUUUCUGGUUCUAUGAUAAAAUAUUUUGUAUUUAUAUGCUAAUACUAGAUGCUGAAUUUAAGUGUUUAUCAUCAUUCUUGACAAUUUAAAAAUUACUAGCAUUUUUCGACAUUUAGAAUUUCUCAGCUUGGAGAGAAAUUUACUGAGGACUACUGGGAGAGAGUGUUAGACUCCAGUGUUCCUGAAAGCUGGGUCCGCUUUCUUAUGCUGCUCCUUGGAAAAACAGACUUUCUUUCUGGCUCAAGUUAUAUCUUCCUUUUAUUAAGUUAUAUAUCUCAAGGUCUUGCAGUAUUUUCUCUUUCUCAGAUAACACAAUACAAGUAACUGGGGGCAGAUGGGAAUCCAAUAUUAGUAUAAUUUUGGCAAAACUGAAAAUAUGCUACGCUCCUGAUUAAAUCCCAUCUGCAUCCCUCAUGCCAAGAGUUUAAGUGUC
rnacentral:lncRNA from 1 species